UGCAAGUGAUGUUUUUCUCACGAUGGUCUUCCAAGUUGUAAGCGUUGACGACAUCGCCUUAUGGCAAAACUGAUGCGGCCUC